rnacentral:rRNA from 1 species
AUUGAACGCUGGCGGCAGGCCUAACACAUGCAAGUCGAACGAGUGGCGGACGGGUGAGUAAUGUCUGGGAAACUGCCCGAUGGAGGGGGAUAACUACUGGAAACGGUAGCUAAUACCGCAUACCCUCGGAUGUGCCCAGAUGGGAGUAGCUUGUAGGUGAGGUAACGGCUCACCUAGGCGACGAUCCCUAGCUGGUCUGAGAGGAUGACCAGCGACAUUGGAAAGGAGACACGGGCCAGACUCCGACGGGAGGCAGCAGUGGGGAAGAUUGCAUAAUGGGCGCAAGCCUGAUGCAGCCAUGCCGCGGGUAUGAAGAAGGCCUUCGGGUUGUAAAGGACUUGCAGCCGGGAGGCGUUACCCGCAGAAGAAGCACCGGAUAACUCCGUGCCAGCAGCCGCGGUAAUUC